UACGGAGGGUGCAAACGUUGCUCGGAAUCAUUGGGCGUAAAGCGCACGUAGGCGGCCUGAUAAGUCGGGUGUGAAAGCCCUGGGCUCAACCCAGGAAGUGCACUCGAAACUGUCAGGCUUGAAUAUGGAAGAGGGUCGCGGAAUUCCCGGUGUAGAGGUGAAAUUCGUAGAUAUCGGGAGGAACACCAGUGGCGAAGGCGGCGACCUGGGCCAAUAUUGACGCUGAGGAGCGAAAGCGUGGGAGCGAACAGG
rnacentral:rRNA from 1 species